GUGGGGAAUAUUGGACAAUGGGCGAAAGCCUGAUCCAGCCAUGCCGCGUGUGUGAAGAAGGUCUUCGGAUUGUAAAGUACUUUAAGUUGGGAGGAAGGGCAGUAAGUUAAUACCUUGCUGUUUUGACGUUACCGACAGAAUAAGCACCGGCUAACUUCGUGCCAGCAGCCGCGGUAAUACGAAGGGUGCAAGCGUUAAUCGGAAUUACUGGGCGUAAAGCGAGCGUAGGUGGUUUUGUAAGUUGGAGGUGAAAUCCCCGGGCUCAACCUGGGAACUGCCUCGAAAACUGCAUGACUAGAGUACGGUAGAGGGUAGUGGAAUUUCCUAUGUAGCGAUGAAAUGCGUAGAUAUAGGAAGGAACACCAGUGGGGAAGGCGACUACCUGGACUGAUACUGACACUGAGGUGCGAAAGCAUGGGGAGCAAACAGGAUUAAAUACCCUGGUAGUCC
rnacentral:rRNA from 1 species